CUACGGGACGCAGCAGUGAGGAAUAUUGCACAAUGGGGGGAACCCUGAUGCAGCAACGCCGCGUGGAGGAUGACGCAUUUCGGUGUGUAAACUCCUUUUAUAUGUCAAGAAAAUGACGGUAGCAUAUGAAUAAGCACCGGCUAACUCCGUGCCAGCAGCCGCGGUAAUACGGAGGGGUGCAAGCGUUACUCGGAAUCACUGGGCGGAAAGGACGCGUAGGCGGGUUGGAAAGUCAGGUGUGAAAUCCUACAGCUUAACUGUAGAACUGCACUUGAAACUUCUAAUCUAGAGUAUGGGAGGGGGAGAUGGAAUUAGUGGUGUAGGGGUAAAAUCCGUAGAUAUCACUAGGAAUACCUAAAGCGAAGGCGAUCUCCUGGAACAUUACUGACGCUAAGGCGUGAAAGCGUGGGGAGCAAACAGGAUUAGAUACCCUAGUAGUC
rnacentral:rRNA from 1 species